GAUGAACGCUGGCGGCAUGCCUAACACAUGCAAGUCGAACGGGAAGAGGUGUUUCCUGUUGCGGUCGGGUGAGCGACGCGUAAGAGCGUGCCAUGUGGAGGAGCACAACAUCUGGAAGGGGUUACUUAGACCAAGUAGGCCGAAGAGCAGAAGAUGGAAUGCGCCCGAGGGUGGGCUUGCGCCGGACUUGCUUGUUGGUGAGGUAAUGGCUUACCAAGGCGAAGUUGAGUAGCUGAUCUGUGAGGUGGUUCGGCCACACUGGGACUGAGACACGGCCCAGACUCCGACGGGAGGCAGCAGCAGGGAACUUUGGGCAAUGGGCGAAGGCCUGAUUCAGCAAUGCCGCAUGGGUUAAGGAGGCCAUGGGGUGGUAAAGUACUGUUCUCAGGGAAGAAGAACUUCUUUUGUAGCAGAAGACACAAUGACGGUACCUGAGGAAUAAGCAACGGCUAACUACGUG
rnacentral:rRNA from 1 species